CGCGGUUGAAGAAGCCAAAAAUAUUCGAAUCCGUCAAACAAAAUCACAUCUUUGGCCAUCUUACACAGCACUAUCUCCAUAUCCAAAUCUGGCACCGUCUCCUCAGCAAAAGCUGCAGAAUGUGACAGCAUAUCCACAUGGGAUGGAAUUGCGAAUAAACAAUGUCAAAAGCAUUUAUGUAUAAUACAUGUUGAUGUAUGAAAUGUUUCUUUGCAGCGAUGUGGGACUACCAGGCGUUAUUUCUACUAUCUACUCUCCACUCUCACCCCCAACUUGGCAUUUGUUGUACUAAGUAGUAUUUUUCAAUUCCUUGCAAACUCACAUUCAGUAUCUCUCUAUACAAUUCCUUGCAUCCAAUAAUAAUAAGAUGGACGAUCACAAUCACAAACGCACACUCUUGUCCUCCCACUCUUGUCUCCCCUAGUUUUCAUCAAUUGUUACAGUGUUGUGCUUUUUUAUUAGAAAAUCUUCUCAAACAAUAUACAUUUGGAUGCUAAUGUAUUGGUAUUUUUGUCAUUUCAGUUUCAUUCUGAUCAAUCGUACAUAAAAUCAGACCUAUGCUUUGGAUUAAUUCAUGAUUUUUCUGGCACCUGCGGUUGGUAUUCGUAUUUGUUUUAUUGUGUUAGUAAACUAUUUCAUAAUUGAAUCAUCUCUUGUGAGAAAUCAGAUGUUAGUCACGGUAUUACAUUGGCUUCACCCUAUAUCUGCCAAGAAAGCUCACCUUGAUGGAACCACAGCCUAUGCAGUUUCUUUGCUUUUGCACAUUCUGACACUGUUCGCACAUGCUCAAGCACAAAUAUGCCUGCUUAUUUUCUUCUUUACUACUAUAUUUUUUGGGUUAUUCUUUACCUCCUCUUACAAAAUGUCCUUAAUGUAAAUCAUUUACAGGGUAUUUCCAAAGCACUCUUUCCUACCGUAGCUGAUUUGGUCUGGUACUCUCGAUGUUUGAUUUUUUUGUUUUGCAUUUUGAGUAAUUACAUUGUCGGAAUGGACCCUACUCUUUUCCUAACUCUGCCUGCUUCUUGGCUGUUUUUCAUUACCACCAAAUUGUUACUCAGGCACAGUUGCUGAAGUUUGAAAGGCAUUCUUCUAUGAUAUACCUUCUAUCUCCAUUUCAUAUGACUGGGCUAAAGGAACGAGUAACCUGCACGAUUUCACACUUGCUGCGCAAGCAUGCAUACCUAUCAUAAGUGCUUUACUGUUUGAUGUAAAGAACCAAAGAUUACUCAAAAGUGCUUCUUGAAUAUAGAUGUGCCAAGCAUUGUUACUAAUCAUUAGAGGUAAAAGUCUAAUCAAGAUGGGAUGGAAGAAAAUCGGCUCUGAGACGGAAGGAAGAAAAAAGUUAUUUGAUAUGACCAAUGCAGAAACUGCAGCCCAAGCAGAUUUUAACGUGUCAUCUAUAUCACCUGGAAGUCUUUUAUUUGCAAGAGAAGUACGAGGUGUCCAACUUGAUCAUGAUAAUGGUGAUCACAAAUCUUUGCAGAAAGGAUAUGUGAUUAUUACUGUCGCCCCUCUUGCUGCUAUCUCUCAGGUAGAGGUAGAUUGUUGAAACCAUUUUAAGGAUUGGCUACAAAAUGUCUCAGAAUCCCUCUCUUCGUCGGCUCUAUAAUGCUGAGUAUUAGGAAGGGGGUGUACUUCUCAUAUGUUUCAUCAAUAUCACAUAGCUUCAAAUGGGCAAUAAAACCUGGUGGUAAAAAAAUGCUCAAAAACCUAUAACAUUUUGGCUAAGUAUCACAUACAUGAAGAUAUGAGAGAAUGAACAGUUUUAAACAGACAAAUUUUUCAGUGAUAUGCUACCUUUUUAUUGAACAGAAAGAAAAAAGACAUGAAAAGAAAAUCAGAACUAUUUAAUCAGAAGUUACUAUUUAUUCA